rnacentral:lncRNA from 1 species
AUUUGCAAGCUAUGUUUAGCAAGCAAAUUUUUAAGUUCUCGCUCUCGCCGUAUGUGAUUAUACAGAAAGCAAACAAUAUCAAAUAUGAGAGAGAAACAUAUUUUUGCUCUCGUGUGCACGAUAUUUCAAGUUUCUCAUGUCUGCAUGAUCACACCUAUGCAUGCAUGCAUGAUGUCGUCAGAAAUUGCUUGCAAUUCUAAGGCUCAACUCACACGAACCAUGACCACGCUACAAGCAGUGAUAGCGGUUGAAACCGACUUCAGUUGUAGUUGAAAUCAGCCACUCGCGAACCGCAAGCUCUGGUUGGUUGAAGUCUGUAUCGACCUCAGUAUGUAGUAGAUAUGGGCUUCAACUGGCCACAGAAUGGAUUUGCUAUAAUGGGCUAGUGCUCGGGAAGUGGCCGGCUAAGCGCGGCUAUUGACGGCAACAAUUUUGUGGAUAAUAUCGGCCACAAGUUGUGACAGCGGUUGAAACCGACUUCAGUUAGUGGUCUGUGUGAGUUCGAUUGUGCGUUUCUAUGUUAAUAUAAUGAUAAUUCACGAUUGUCCACGAAUAACUAUGUUUUGUGGUUGUGGUUCGUGCGAGUUGAGCCUUAAUUCGCGUCUGCAUGACCAUAGCCUUCGCUUAGAUAUCCGCGAGUUCAGUUACAGCCAAUUUUACAAUUUUAAGAAUACUAUUGAUAGAUUAAUCAUAGCAAGUUCCAAGCAAAAUCGAGCAAUUUUUCACUAUCCAAGAUUGAUUUUUAAAUUGUAUCUGUACUACU